CUAGUCAUCAUACGAUUGUAAACCAAAGAUACCCAGAUAACAGAUAUUCCUUUUUUUUUCUUUUUUUCUUUUUUUGGGGACACAACUUUUUGACUACUAACAAAAAUUCACUCUUAUUAUUAACAAAUGCAAUUAUUUUUCUGCAGAUGAUGGACACAUACAGCCAAAAUUUUAUUUCUUCAUUUAGGUCGUGGAUUAGUCACGCGAUCUCCUUCGAAAGCUGAUUAGGAGGGGGCAAAAAAAAAGUAAAGAAAACAGUAAGCGGUACGAAAAAUGAGUGAAAUGAAAGAAGGGACAAAGCCAAAUUUAGAACUGCAACUAACCUUACAGCGACCCAUCACUGAAGCCAAUGACAGUCCAAACAAAGUUACAAACCAUCCUCAAAAUUUAUCACAUAUCGGUUAUCAUCUUGUCCAAGCAAUACAGACCUGUCACUGUAACAAAUUAUACAAUCCCCAGCUGCAGUGAGA
rnacentral:lncRNA from 1 species